rnacentral:misc_RNA from 1 species
GAUGAAGAACGCAGCGAAAUGCGAUACUUGGUGUGAAUUGCAGAAUCCCGUGAACCAUCGAGUCUUUGAACGCAAGUUGCGCCCGAAGCCACUAGGCCGAGGGCACGCCUGCCUGGGCGUCACACGUCGUUGCCCCCCACCAUCUACUCCUUCGGGAUUGCGGGGGGCGGAUGAUGGCCUCCCGUGCGCCUAGCCGCGCGGUUGGCAUAAAUACCAAGUCCUCGGCGACGCACGCCACGACAAUCGGUGGUUGCGAAACCUCGGUUGCCCGUCGUGUGCGUUCGUCGCGCAUCGAGGGCUCGAAAAAAUGCUCGGCUCAGGCUCGGCUUUCAACGCGACCCCAGGUCAGGCGGGGUUACCCGCUGAAUUUAAGCAUAUCAAUAAGCGGAGGA